GGGAAGUAAUGGUGGGGGAUACCAGUGAGGUGAUAAAAAAAAGGGGUAGUUGUUUUGUUUUGGGGUGUUAUCAGUGCUCAAAGUACGAAAACACGCCAAACACGGAUAUCUCCGCAUUCUGUAGUUAAAUUGUGUUAAUUUUCCGAUAUUACAGCAUUCUUUAUCACAUUGAUGGCUCUAAUUUUAGAGUCUGAAUAAAAAUGUAGGUUUUUCGAGCAAUUUUUCUGAAUUUGAGUCAGUGAGCGUUGAGCGAUGGUUCGCGAGUGACAACGUAGCAAGGAAACAAACGAAAUUAAUUUGAGGUUAAUUUCCUCUCGUCAGCAAAAGUGCAAAACAGAGACUUUACUUUUAUUAAAAUACGAUUAUGACGACUUACACACAUUUUUAAACAGUGUCAUAGUGUCUUUAUGAAGAAGCUCAACGUUUUAUCCUCUGAUAGUGGUCAGAGAUAAAAAAACCUAAUUCUUGUCUCCCCUCUUUUUUUUCCAGCAUCAAGUGACAUGUCGUCCCUAAAUCUUUGAUCUUACCUAUAUUACUGCUUGUGUGUCUCGCCAAAUAUUUGCAAAUGGUGGUUGCAGGUAAUGUAUGAAACAUCGCCUUUAUAGUCAGGAAAUAAAUAGUGACAGCUACAUUACAAAAAGUGCAGAUCCACUAUCAUGGCUGAUUCUGAUAGUGACCAGUUUGAAAGUGCAGAUGAAGAACUCUCCGAUAACGAAGAGCCUAAAACACCUCUUAGUCUGAGUAGUGCAGCGUAUGCCAACAAGGCGACAUCAGAUGAGGCUCAUGAAAUUGUUCAGCCUCAAAGCAAUAAGAAAAAUAUCAGCGCUCGUCUUCAAGAAUUGAGGCUACAUGAAAGCACAACAAACGUAGAAGAAUCUCUUGCUAGAAAGCCUAACCAAAAGAAUGAGGAAAUACCCCCUGCCUCAUCUGUGUUGGAGACAAAGGUUUCAGGCACGCGCGAAGAAGUUGUUACAAAGCCAUUUUCAAGUACAGCUGCUCACAACUUAGAAGAUGAGACACUAGACAGUCAUGCUAAGGAAGUCACAUCAUCAGCUAUUGAAGUAACCACCACUAAAACUUCUACUGCACAACCAAUUAAUCAGAAUGAGAAGAUCUCAAAACUUGAAACAGAUAAUUCCUCCUAUUUAAAUCAACAGGAGCUAGAUGUGCUUCGCUGUCGAAAAGACAACGAAAAGUUUGGAGAUGAGGGUUGGGACGUAGAGCCUCUGUCGGACAAUGAUUUAACUUCCCAAACUCCAAAGUGCGUUCUCCAAACUAAAAUAGCCACUACUGUUGUCAACUCUGAUGUGGUAAAAGUAAAACAACCAGAAGAACAGGUACAAAAUGUCAGAGAAGGUUCAGAGUCGACAAGCAGUGGAAAUUCUAAUCAACUUCCUUCUCAGUCAUCUUUGAAAAGUUCUUCCCUACAAAAUUCUGAGCUCUCUCUCCCAAAUAACGAUAGAACUGUACCUGAAAGUUCACAGAAUGAUGGAUGGGAUGAUGAUUUUGAAAUCGAAGAUGAUUUGAUCGAAGCCAAGUUAUCAUCAAGAGAAACUGUAGUCCUAUUGGAGUCAGGAAUUACAACAAACCUUGAAGACGAUGAAGGGUGGAAUGAUGGAUGGGACACAGACGAGGUGACUUUUCACCUGAACCAUCAGAAACUGAAAAAUCUAAAAAAGGUUCGGAGCCUCCAAAGACAUCACAACCGAUAA
rnacentral:lncRNA from 1 species